GCUGCGUUUGCAUGGAACUGGCAGCUCUCGUACCUGGCGUUGUUCCUCUGACACGUGACCUUGCCCCAUUCUGAAGAUCAACAAAAAAAGAAACACACGUCAAAUUACAUUCCCAUAUACACGCGUAUACACAGAUGAGAGAAAAUUUUCGGCAUCUAAUUAUGUCGAGAGCAAGUCACUGACUCGAAAAUUUUACGGGGCCAUAAUAAUAUUGCGAAAUUACUUUAAUCAAAUACCAUCCGCCGUAUGUUAUACGUAUAUGUAUAUAUUUAUUACUGACAUAAGCGAAAUUUCCAAAUUUAUGCGAUGAUGGUUCCGUUUUUAGAUAUGAUCAAACACGUCUGUUGUAAAAGAUUGAUUUUUUUGUUUCAAACCACCAAUCGAAGAAAAAAAGGUUUGAAAAAAAUUUAACUUCAACGAAAACUCUUGCGUCUGAUUUGACGAUUAACGUUUUCGAAUCAGGCGUGUACUUAUGAAAUUAAACAUUUUACAAAAGCCGCCACUUUGGAACGUCUGAAAAAUAUCUUAGAUAUUGUGUAUUUCAUUUCUGGCACGUUGAAAAAAUAUUCGAAAGUGAAUAAUUUAAUUCCGAUUGUUCUUUGGGAACUCGUAAUACAGAUGACAAGUCUUUUUCAAUUACCAAAACAUACUGAGAAAUUUUAGUGUGAUAAUAAUUGAGAGAAAAAAGAAAUUACUCGAUCGAGGAACAACUACUCAUUUAGUACCUCGGUCGUCCGACCAGUGAGGCAGCUUACUACUAGCUCCGCGUUCACGGCUGACACGUGAUUUGCUUUACUACUUGCCGUUCUGCCACAGUAUAGGGAAUACUGUGGUUCUGUGCCGUGUCGUUUUAUUACCUGCACAAACUUGAACCCGUAUUUUGGUCUUCCGAUGAUUUAUUAUCGGUUUGUUAUACUUUUGACCAUACACAAAAGUCGAUUCUUCUAAUUAACAAUCACUUGCCGCAUUUGAAAUAACCAUUCAACUCGUUUUGCGACACUUAUAGCUUUUAUUUUUUAUCUUUCUGUUCUUUCGUUUUAUAAAAAAAUUACGAUGAAUGGGGAACGUUGGUCGAUCAGAGAUUCCAAUGGAUUUGCCAAAAUGAACGACACCUGGUCGCGUUGACGUGAAAUUCGACGUGCCGUAACGUAGAAUAUUUCAUCUUGUGCUUGAGGACGACGUGCUCGAAAGCACGAGCGUCGUACCCAUAGAGAUACACGUACGUACCCACAGACAUCUGUAUUCUUCAAGAUUCAUGUUUAUCGAAAGAACUUCACGUUCUGAUAAUAAGGAGGAGGGGAGAAGAAUGUGAAAGUGGUCUACCCCGGGGCAAUCUCCUUACCCACCUUGCCCAUCAAUGGAUACUCAGGGGUUCUCACAUCUCUUUUAUACAUAUAGGGCGUCCCGUGUGAACUCUACCGACUAUCGCAUGAGCUGGACUUGGGCUAGCUGCCUGGCUAAAAGUAACGUCACUAAUACAUAUGUAUGUUACACGAAGGUGACGUUAGACAAAAAGUAAAAUCACACCUCCGUGCGUAUAUAUAUUUUUACAACCUAAUUAACAACGUGUAUACAGCAAAACAUCGACGUCUAUCGAUUCCUUCGAAUGUGUCACGAAUAUUAGAGAAAAUAUGAAAAUCGUUUUCUUUCUCUUUUUACCUUACAACCUGUAUACUCGAGUUAAUGAAUUUUUCGAAAUUUCCUCUCAACUCUCUUCGAGCGGGUGAUAUACAAAAAUUAGAUCUGGUGUCUUGAAUUAUUCGCACGCAUUUGCGUGUUGUAUCGAAAAGGGUGUAAAAUUCCGAACGAUUGGAUCGAGGCAAAGCGACUGUACAUAUAGGUAUACACACGCCGCGUUGCUGCGGAAUCGAAAGUCGCUUGCAGUUCCAAUAAUAUAUAUACGAUUAGAAAAUAUCCACCAGUUUGGAAAUCGUUUUCCUUCCUCACCACGAUGGUGCGCAGCUUACUACUACACACGAACACGGGCAAUGUUUAGUCAUCUGUGCGGCGUAUGAGAAAACGUGCGAGGGUAUAAAACGAAUGAAUGUAAAAAAAUCAAAUCUACGAACGAUGGAAAACCGAUAGAUAAAGGGGACGUGAAUUUCUACAUUAAUUUUAUAGUUUGCAUAAAAUUGCAGAUACAUAUAUAUACGAGACGGCGACGACUGCAGCCAGCCAGCUAGCCAACCAGCUGCGCGUUUAACGCAUGUGAUAAAUAUUACGCAAGUCACGACGUACGGACGCUCCUGAGGUCGGCGACGGUCACCUUAUUACAUGAAAGAACUGUUCGAUGCGCGAUGACGACGGUGCGUACUUAUAAAUGAAUAAAACUAAAGAAGCGGCUUAAGAAAAUAAAAAAUAAAUUCCAUGGGAUAAUAUUUGAAUGGCCACGAAAGAUGACGAUAGUUGAAAACCUUAACCCAAUUAGUUUGUACGAGAUGAAAUCGUAUCGGAGAAAUGGUAUUUGGAUUGUCGUAUACUCGAGAGGAAACCGAAAGAAAUUCUAACGAUUUAUAGCCUCGGACAUUAUUCAAAUCCCAAGUUGAACUCGCAUGACUCGGAGUAAUAGAGAUGAUUGUCAGGUGUGCAUGUGUAAGUAGAGUAAUAUAAAGUGAAAAUCAGAACAUAGAAAUGAUAAUGCGAAAGACACGCUCUCUUCAUGUAGUUUUAAAUGAAUCCUACGUAAUGUGUGAUUACCAUUAAUUAAUUAUUCGCUCUAAUUUUUCCUUUUAUUUUCUUUCGUAUAAUUUUGAUUCAUCGGUUUUACGCUACCUAAAAUAUUUCGAAAGAAAAGCUCAAAGAAAUUACAAAAUAUCGACCUUUGCGUGCGCACGUGCGUAAAAAUGAGUCUGCAAUUGAGAAAAAAAAAAAAGAAAAGAGAAAAGAAAGAAAGAAAGAAAGAAAGAAUUUGGAUAACCCAGAUAUACGAAUUCCGUAGGCAGCACCUCGCCGUGCAUCGCGGGUAGCUGGAAGCGAUGUGAGAAAAAAAAAAAAACAAAUUUUCAAUAAAUUUGAUAUACACGUAGACGUGCGUAUGCGUAACGCGCGCGUGUACCGGGGUACGUACGUAAGUAGUGUCGAAGCGCUUUGGUUCUAAAAGACAAACAACCUGUAGAAAACUUUCACUCGACGUUACGGCGACCCACAUCGGCAACGAGCAGCGGCAGCCGUCCAGCCGGUCGAACAAAGUUAUCCCGAAGAUGCUGCGUGCCGGAGCGUUGCCGUUGCGGGGUAUACCUACCAGCGCCAGUGAUAGUGCUGGUGCCGCACGAACUCGAAUCAUGAAAUCAAGGUCAUCUCACUCUCUCAAAUCUCUCUGUGACAACGGUCGUUGCGCGCGUACCGAUCACGUCUGUGUGCAACGACUCUCGUUACAACUAUCCUUCGCAGGUGUACCCGGUAUACGGUGCGGAGAUAUACAAGCGACGCCGCAUCGUCAACGGGGGAAUUUCAUCCCGUACGGCUGAUCGAAAUUUUUCAACACCGUGUACGGGAAGCUGCGGUAUACCACCCACCUCCCCACCUUCGCGAGGUACGGGCAGAGUGGUGUUGACCGAGGAGAAAUGGGGAGGGUGGAUAGGUACGUACACACGUCUAUCGGCGAGAUGCAGGAACUCCGCGACCUCAGAAACACUACAUCUCGCGACUUGACGAGUGAAAAGCUGAAUAAGAUGCGGGAAGUUGGAAGACGCUGUGAGCGAAGGAUUCGACCUUGACCCACGCCGGCCCUUGUAUAUACGGUCCAGAUUCUGUAUCCACGCGUUGCCGCGUUCCGCAUACAAUCGAAAGUAGAAUAAUAGACUGGGAUAUGCGACUUGAAUUGAUCGGACUUUCUGGCGCGGUUCACUUUUAAGGUCACCCUGACGAAGUUCAACAUUUUUUUGUUCUUUCUUUUCUCUGUGGUUUUUUUUUUUUUUUUUCAUCUCUUUGAUUUCUUUAUUUUCAUCUCGCGCGGUCAGCCAACUUGGAAUGGAAUAUGGGCGCGUUAUAAGGAUCGUAAUUUCUUUCUCUUCGGUACGGUAAUGUUUGAAUUGUUCGAGAAUCUCGUUCCGCUGCCGCAGGCGUUUUCGUCCCGCCUUCCGAUAUUCAAGCACACAAUACAUUGAACUCAGCUAAUUGAUAAAACCUAUAUAACUAAAAUUCAUAGAAGUUUCGGUUGUUUGAUUGUACGUACAUGCGUAUAUAUUUGAGUUUCUCGAGUUUUUCAACUUAGAUAUACACCAAGUUACGUCCAUUCGUGUGUGUGUGUGUGUAUAACGGUUAUGCUCUAUGAAGAAAAAAGCUUCUUAGAAGCCGUAAGUUAUGUAUAGUAGGUGAUUUUUGUUAUUUUCUUUUAUCAUUUUUGCCUCCACCUCUCUAAAAUUUUAUAUGGUCAACCAAUUAACUCGAUUAUACAGUUUGAACUUGAAAGGUUCAGUGGUAAUUAGCUUUGGAAUUUCUCUCUGCAGUCGGUUCCUCUAUUCCUAGGGCGUUAUUCAUUACGCUGUACUAAUUCUUUGACAUACUUAAGAUACUCAACAUACAUAGCUUGAAAAAUCGUUAUUCCAGCUAAGACUUGUGAUACUGACGUUUGUUUUUUUGUUGCAGGUGAUUCAAAAAUUGUCUAAAAUUUCCCAAUCUCAAUUUUAAUCACCUGUGUAUGUCUUUAUAAAAAUUCGGAAUUGUACUUUUCCCCCCCCCCCCCCCCGUCCCCUUUUUUUUCUACAAAUCAUACCAUCGUGUAUGGGGAGCAAAAUUUCAAGCAAACGUUGAUUUCCCCUACCGUUGCAAUAGAAAAUAGCUAGAUACGAAAUUUCGCCAAAUAGAAUUAUAGAAAGUAGUCUCGGAUUAUAAUUAGCCGGUAAUUAACGUUCUGGAGUUUUGAGCUCAUAACAACUUGAAACGUUGCGUGAGAACAAUUAUGGGAUAUACUUUACAGUUUAUGGGUUAUGGCCAGAAAAUCAAAAGGUAAAUAUAUUUUUCAAAAAAGAAAAGUUGAAUAGACUAUACAAAUCUCUGUGGUGGUGAACCUUAUUACUAAAUAACUAAAAAAAAAAAAUAGAAGACAUAGAAAUUAACCGAACUUUUUCUACGAUAAAAUCCAAUUAUAAUAUUCAAUAUUGUAAGGUCAAUCAGCGCGCGAUUACGCCAUACAUAAAUCAAUGAAAAACCGCCCAUCGAUCACGAUCACGUUUCAAAUUGUAAUAGUAUAGAUUUGCUUCACGUGGGAUCUAAGAAUUAAUGACCUCAAAAACUACAUGAUAAGAGAAAAUAGGUACAUGAAGCUUGCGAUCAUCGAUACGUAAUUUUUAUUAUGGUUCGACCUUUGACCUAAAAAUGAAACUGAAGAUAAUCAUGACGAUCGUUUAUAAUGGAUCCAUCGACCGGUUUUCGGUGCGCGUGAAUCUAAACUUUCCCACGGCAUACCUGUAGGAGAGUUAUAUAUACAUAAAAAAUUAAAUAUUCCGACAUGAAGAGUCGGUAUGGUAUGUUAUAAUGUACGUCCGGAAAGAGCUUUUUGAAUAUUGAGGAGAAAUCUUUCUCUAUUUACAUAUACAGGGUGCUCAAUAACUGACGCAUUUUCUCUUAUGUAUAUUGGAAGAUUCCUUAUAUUCGAGAAGAAAAAGGAAUCAAGUUUUUCAAAAUUCGUAUCUCAUUUUCACGAUUUUCGUGCUUACCGUUUGAAAAAUUGAUCUGUCCUUCUCACAGGCUAACCAGAUCGCCAAAAAGAAAAAUGCUAGAAAUUUUUCGCCACAGUGGAACCGAGAAAAUGUUUCUCUCUACGAAAUAAUGUACAUGACAGAAUACGGACACGUGCAGUGGUAUACACGCGUCUAUUAUGCCACCUGUUGCGUGUACAAAUCAGCCUAAGCUAUCCUAGAACGUUUUUUUUAAUCCGUUAAUUUUUCACACCCACGGGUGUAAUAAUAAUUCAUCGACGACAAACCGCAACCGGCAACAAACACAUCUAGUUUGCUUCGGGCUGUGGGACAACCAGAGGAAACCCAUUCACUGUAUGAAAUUCAUCGGUAUUACCUUUUAAAUCUUCUAUGUACGUGAUAAAUUAUGCGACUAAAAACGAGAUACCUCAAGUUGAUUCUAUUGCGAAAAUCACUCGUUAGCCGCAUCUAUAAAUGAACUUCAGAUGAAUAGCAAAACGACGGUUCAGAAGUUGCGGCACGUAAAGGAUCGACGAAAUAUCCUAUCCCUACUCAUAGAAUCGAUAGAAAUAUCGGAUGUUCUGAUUGUCUGAAUUCGGGGGGGCGAAUCUCAAAAAUGGUAGAAAUAAACUUGUAGAAAAUUCGUAGACGUGAAAUAAAAAAAAAAUAUAAACCUAUGUAGCAUAUUCUUAACAAUUUUUCACCGCUGACCACACAACGUAGCCUGAAGAAAGUCAGAAAAAAAAA